UUAUAAUUCAGUAUGUUGACACAUGAAUAUUACAUCCCCCUUCUUUUAAAACAAAAUGUUUACAUAUUCUAAGCGUUUCUUUUGAAUACAUGCUCUGCAGUUUGAACUCAAGGGCAGCGAUCUGCCUACACCCUUUGACAUUUCACAGGUCUGGGACAGACCUGGGCUUGACCUCUCUUCCUGACAUUCUGCGAUAUGAUGCUGAGCAUGCUUCUGUGUCAGUCAACAGCUCUUGUGUUGUUGCAGGACCUGAGCCCUAGGACCAUGCCCCAGGACUACCUGACAUGAUGACUCCUUGCUGUCCCCAGUCCAAAUGGCUGUGCUGCUGCUCCAGUUUCAACUGUUCUGCCUUAUUAUUAUUCGACCAUGCUGGUCAUUUAUGAACAUUUGAACAUCUUGGCCAUGUUCUGUUAUAAUCUCCACCCGGCACAGCCAGAAGAGGACUGGCCACCCCACAUAUGCUCUCUCUAAUUCUCUCUUUCUUUCUCUCUCUCGGAGGACCUGAGCCCUAGGACCAUGCCCCAGGACUACCUGACAUGAUGACUCCUUGCUGUCCCCAGUCCACCUGACCAUGCUGCUGCUCCAGUUUCAACUGUUCUGCCUUAUUAUUAUACGACCAUGCUGGUCAUUUAUGAACAUUUAAACAUCUUGGCCAUGUUCUGUUAUAAUCUCCACCCGGCACAGCCAGAAGAGGACUGGCCACCCCACAUAGCCUGGUUCCUCUCUAGGUUUCUUCCUAGGUUUUGGCCUUUCUAGGGAGUUUUUCCUAGCCACCGUGCUGCUACACCUGCAUUGCUUGCUGUUUGGGGUUUUAGGCUGGGUUUCUGUACAGCACUUUGAGAUAUCAGCUGAUGUACGAAGGGCUAUAUAAAUAAAUUUGAUUUAAUUUGAUUUGAUAUCAGGCCACCAUAGAAAUACAAUUCCACUAGAUAACCCACCAUAAUUCACACCCCGACCCAACCAACAUAGAGAAUAAACUGCUCUCUAUGGUCAGAGUGUGACAGAUACCUUCAGCCUUAGUUAUUAGGACUCUUCCUUUUAAAGUUAAGUCACUCUGUAGCCAUUGAUUUAGCCUCUUCUGGGGUUUUUAAAUAAGAGGGUUAAAAUUUAGUAAGCCUCUAGACUUCUGAUCCUUAGUAAUGGUUAUGCCUAAAUAUGUAAGUUCUUCUUUCACUGGAAUACCAUAAUAUGAAGGUGUCACAAUCUUUGACAGCCAUGAGUUCACGUGUAUUCAUGUUAAGAUAUAAACCAGACGCUUUGGAAAAGGAUAGUAUCACAUUGAUCGAUAUGGGAAUUUGGUUAGCGUCUUUCAGAAAAGGUGUAGUAUUGCCAGCCAGCUGGCUUUUAAUAAUUUCUUUACCAGCUAUGGAAAUACCUUGUACAGGACUAUUAGUUAAAGAAUUUGUAAGAAGUUGGGUGAUUAAUAAAAACAGAUACGGAGAGAUAGGACAACCUUGCCUAAUUCCUUUCUUUAACUCAAAUCUAGGUGAGGUGCCAUGUUUCCGUUUGACAGAUCUGUUACCAUUUCUAUAGAGAGUCUUAAUAACCGUACAGAAAAAAUCCCCAAAGACAAAUUUCUCAAGGGAGUGGAAGAGGAACUGAUGGUCUACUGUGUCAAAUGCUUUAUAAAAAUCCCAAAAUAAUAUGAAGCUAUCCUCGGUUAUUAGGUCUGAGUAGUCAAGUGUGUCUAAUACUAGGCUGAUUUUGUUAGAAAUAUGACUGUUCUUCAUAAAGCCAGACCGUGUUUCAUCAAUAAUUGCAUCCAGGACUUAUUUCAUUAUUUUUGCAAGUAGUAAGGCUUAUAUCUUAAAGUCAUUAUUGAGAAGUCAAAUUGGACGCUAGUUAUCGAUGAGCAGCAUUUCUUUUUUAGGCUUAGGUAUCAGUGUUAUUAACCCCUGACUCAUUGUAGGAGGGAGAAUAUUGUUUUUAAUACUCGUUAAAAAGACUUCAAGUAGGAAGGGAGCUACUUGUUCAGAAAAUAAUUUGUCAAAUUCUGAUGUAAUUCCAUCAACAUCUGGGGAUUUAUUGUUCUUUUGAUGUUUGAAAGACUAUAAUCUCUUCAACUUUGAUGGGUUCAUCACACUGUUAGAUUCUGUAUCACUGAUAGAGUGAACAUUAUUCAGUGAGUCAAAAAACAUAUAUGUGGAUUCCUGAGAGUACAUAGAGCUAUACAAUUUCCUGUAAAAAUUGCUACAGUUUUUAGUGAUUCAUUUUUGGUAAUCUGUAAUAACACCAUCAAUGUUGAAUUGUGUUAUUUGUAGAGUGAAAUUUCUCACGUCUAAAGAACUAGAAUCCCCAUACUGUUUUUAUUUUAUUUACUUUUCUGCUCUUUUGCACACCAGUAUCUCUACCUGCACAUGUUCAUCUGAUCAUUUAUCACUCCAAUGUUAAUCUGCUAAAUUGUAAUUAUUCACUCCUAUGACCUAUUUAUUGCCUACCUCCUCAUGCCUUUUGCACACAAUGUACUGUAUAUAGAUUUUUUUUCUUCUAGUAUGUUAUUGACUUGUUUAUUGUUUACUCCAUGUGUAACUCUGUGUUGUUGUCUCUUCACACUGCUAUGCUUUAUCUUGGCCAGGUCGCAGUUGCAAAUGAGAAUGUGUUCUCAACUAGCCUACCUGGUUAAAUAAAGGUGAAAUAAAAAAAU
ensembl:lncRNA